UAGAGUAAGGGUAGUUACUGGGCAGAGUGUGUCCCAGAUUAUAGCAUUGCUGGCUGUCAGUGAAUAGAGUAAGGGUAGGUACUGGGCAGAGUGUGUCCCAGGUUAUAGCAUUGCUAGCUAGCAGAAUAUAGAAUGGAUAGAGUAAGGGUAGUUACUGGGCAGAGUGUGUCCCAGGUUAUAGCAUUGCUGGCUGUCAGUGUAUAGAAUGGAUAGAGUAAGGGUAGUUACUGGGCAGAGUGUGUCCCAGGUUAUAGCAUUGCUGGCUGUCAGUGUAUAGAAUGGAUAGAGUAAGGGUAGAUACUGGGCAGAGUGUGUCCCAGGUUAUAGCAUUGCUGGCUGUCAG